UAACCAGACUCCUACGGGAGGCAGCAGUGGGGGAUAUUGCACAAUGGGGGGAACCCUGAUGCAGCGACGCCGCGUGGGUGAAGGAGCGUUUCGGCGCGUAAAGCCCUAUCGGCAGGGAAGAAGGAGGACGGUACCUGACUAAGAAGCCCCGGCUAACUACGUGCCAGCAGCCGCGGUAAUACGUAGGGGGCAAGCGUUAUCCGGAUUUACUGGGUGUAAAGGGGGCGUAGACGGAUGUGCAAGUCUGAUGUGAAAGGCGGGGGCUCAACCCCUGGACUGCAUUGGAAACUGUAAAUCUUGAGUGCCGGAGAGGUAAGCGGAAUUCCUAGUGUGGCGGUGAAAUGCGUAGAUAUUAGGAGGAACACCAGUGGCGAAGGCGGCUUACUGGACGGUAACUGACGUUGAGGCUCGAGAGCGUGGGGAGCAAACAGGAUUAGAUACCCGAGUA
rnacentral:rRNA from 1 species